CCUCCUCAGGCACUGUAUGAGAAAUGGGGUGGCUCAAUUCUUUCUUCUCUCCCUUGAAGAAACUAUGGUUUCGCGUCAAUUCUACUCAGAAGAAGAGUAUGGCCUCUCUUUCACUCUCUAUAUCUUUCUCUCUACCGAUUCUAUAUCUAUUUUCCAGCAUUAUAUUUGAAUUCACACACACACACACACAUAUAUAUAUAUAUCUUUAUAAUUAAUGACCCAGUAGAUCAGGUAUACUUCUUUUUUUUCGUGGUUCAUAUAUACUCUCUCAAUGAAACUAUGAAAAUGAAUUUUGUUUGCAUCAUGAACCUAUGUAUAUGUGUGUAUGCGGCAUUGUGUUAAAGUAGAAAGAUGGAUAAUGUGCAGGAAGAGGAAUCCCCUAUAUAUUAUUUGUGAAACAUUACAACUUCUUUUUGUAGCCACAUGUCAUUACUAGGAUGAUUCUUAGAAUUAUUAGAGAAAUAGGUUGGUCCAUCUCAUUAUAUAAUAAGCUUUUUAUUAAACUAACCAUAAAUUAAUUAUUAAUAUCAUUUAUUAUUUCAUUAAAUAAAGAUUACGGAAUUGCCUAAUGUGGGUAGAGUAUAUAUGACAAUUAAUGAUUUUGAAUAAUAAAGAUCUGAUAAAAAAUGUAUCUUCUAUCAAUUUUUUUUAAUUUAAAACUAUUAAAAUAAUUUUAAAAAAAAAACACAAUAACCAUAUUAUAAAAAUUAGAUUUUUCUGUAUAUUUUAUAUUUUGAAUUUUAAAAAAUGACUAUAAAUUACUAAAACUGUUAAAAGUCUCACAUUCAAAUUUUGCGAUCCAUGGUUUAAAAUUUUUGUUAUGACAAAAUACAAAUGAUUACAAAAUCAUAUAAAUAAAAGUCUAAUUUAAUUAAUCAUUAAGAUUUAAAAUAUAUAUGUAUAUAUAUCAUUCUAAAUUAAACUAUAAACCAUAUUGAAUAAAUAAAUAUUUUAGUUUCAAAAUUUACUUUGAAUAAUUUUUUUGAUAAAAGUUUUGAACUAACAUUGAUAAUUUUUUUUAAAUUAUAAAUUACUAAAAUUAUUAAUCCCACAAUGAAAAUUUUGUUAUCAGUAAUUUAAAGUUUUUGCUAUUAAAGAUACACAUGAUCAAAAAAACAUAUGAGUAGAAAGUAUCAUUUAAUAGACAUUAAUAUUAAAAAUAUACUAUGUAUGUUAAUAUCAUUUAGAUUUAAUUACAUAUCCUAUCAAAUUUUUUUUAAAAAAAUUGUUUGGAUUAAUAAAAUUGAUUUAUACGUUCGCACCAAUUUAAUUAUAUAUGUAAUAGUUACUGACUUUUAAUUAUUCAAUAUAUAUUUAUUAUUUCAUAAUAUGUAAGAACAUAUAAUACAUAAAAUAAUUUAUAUAUAUAAUGUUUAUCCCGCGCAAGGCGCGUAUCUUAAUCUAGUAUACAUAUUAUACGCGGACGUGAAGUCAUGUCCAUAUGAAGAUGUGCAUGUUUUGUGGUCUAUACUCGUGGAGUCUCAUCCACACGCUUUCGUUUUGGUUCAGAGUUCAUAUAUGGAAUGUUCAUGCUCAAGGACGAAACAAAGGAGAAAAUUGUUGGCGAAUCAUUCAUAUAUAUAUAUAUAUAUAUAUAUAUAUGUUACUCUCACUUGUACAUAAC
rnacentral:lncRNA from 1 species